GAUGAACGCUGGCGGCGUGCCUAAUACAUGCAAGUCGAGCGAACGGACGAGAGGCUUGCUUCUCUGAUGUUAGCGGCGGACGGGUGAGUAACACGUGGAUAACCUACCUAUAAGACUGGGAUAACUUCGGGAAACCGGAGCUAAUACCGGAUAAUAUUUUGAACCGCAUGGUUCAAAAGUGAAAGACGGUCUUGCUGUCACUUAUAGAUGGAUCCGCGCUGCAUUAGCUAGUUGGUAAGGUAACGGCUUACCAAGGCAACGAUGCAUAGCCGACCUGAGAGGGUGAUCGGCCACACUGGAACUGAGACACGGUCCAGACUCCUACGGGAGGCAGCAGUAGGGAAUCUGCCGCAAUGGGCGAAAGCCUGACGGAGCAACGCCGCGUGAGUGAUGAAGGUCUUCGGAUCGUAAAACUCUGUUAUUAGGGAAGAACAUAUGUGUAAGUAACUGUGCACAUCUUGACGGUACCUAAUCAGAAAGCCACGGCUAACUACGU
rnacentral:rRNA from 1 species